rnacentral:rRNA from 1 species
AUUGAACGCUGGCGGCAGGCCUAACACAUGCAAGUCGAGCGGAUGACGGGAGCUUGCUCCUUGAUUCAGCGGCGGACGGGUGAGUAAUGCCUAGGAAUCUGCCUGGUAGUGGGGAACAACGUUUCGAAAGGAACGCUAAUACCGCAUACGUCCUACGGGAGAAAGCAGGGGACCUUCGGGCCUUGCGCUAUCAGAUGAGCCUAGGUCGGAUUAGCUAGUAGGUGAGGUAAUGGCUCACCUAGGCGACGAUCCGUAACUGGUCUGAGAGGAUGAUCAGUCACACUGGAACUGAGACACGGUCCAGACUCCUACGGGAGGCAGCAGUGGGGAAUAUUGGACAAUGGGCGAAAGCCUGAUCCAGCCAUGCCGCGUGUGUGAAGAAGGUCUUCGGAUUGUAAAGCACUUUAAGUUGGGAGGAAGGGCAGUAAGUUAAUACCUUGCUGUUUUGACGUUACCGACCGAAUAAGCACCGGCUAACUCUGUGCCAGCCGCCGCCGUAA